CUGGCUCCAGUUUCUUCCUAGGUUUCUGAUAUUGUCUUUCCUAAGCAUUUUCUGCUGAAAUGAAGGCCUUCUCAGCAUCUAAACCCAGGCUGCUAUGCUACUAUAGGAAGUCCCACAACUGGUCAGACUGUUGUCUCCAUAAAAGGAUGGCCAUCAUCUUCAGCUGCGCUCUUGAAAUGGAACUGCCUGGCAAGCUUCUAUGUUUCCCUGACACUGAACUCAUCAUUAUUGUCAGCAUCAGUCAUCAUGGUGAGUCACCAUUAUUACCAUCAGAGCCAAGCAAAAAUAUUCGGGACUCAUGCCAUCCUCUUGAGAAGUUGCUUCCAUAGAGAACAUCUGUAGGGUUCCAGAAGAAUGCAGUCCAUGUUUACAACGGUUGGAGACUUGACCUCAAUCUGAAGUUACUCUUCCCUUCCUCACCGCCCUACCAACAAAAGGAGAAUGGAAUGUGAUUCUCUCCCCAGCUCCACACAUGUGGCAGGCAGAGGCAGUGGUAGGA
rnacentral:lncRNA from 1 species